GACGAACCGUGCGAACGUUAUUCGGAAUUAUUGGGCGUAAAGGGCGCGUAGGCGGCAUUGCAAGUGGAAGGUGAAAUCCCUCGGCUUAACCGAGGAACUGCCCCUCCAAACUGCGUUGCUUGAGGCCGGGAGAGGUGAGUGGAAUUCCGUGGUGUAGCGGUGAAAUGCGCAGAUAUCAGGAGGAACACCGAUUGCGAAGGCAGCUCGCUGGGACGUUACUGACGCUGAGACGCGAAAGCGUGGGGAGCAAACAGG
rnacentral:rRNA from 1 species